rnacentral:rRNA from 1 species
GACGGAGGAUGCAAGUGUUAUCCGGAAUCACUGGGCGUGAAGCGUCUGUAGGUGGUUUAAUAAGUCAACUGUUAAAUCUUGAGGCUCAACCUCAAAAUCGCAGUCGAAACUAUUAGGCUAGAGUAUAGUAGGGGUAAAGGGAAUUUCCAGUGGAGCGGUGAAAUGCGUAGAGAUUGGAAAGAACACCGAUGGCGAAGGCACUUUACUGGGCUAUUACUAACACUCAGAGACGAAAGCUAGGGUAGCAAAUGGG